ensembl:misc_RNA Metazoa_SRP Metazoan signal recognition particle RNA
GCCAGGUGUGGUGGCGUGCACCUGUAAUCUCAGCUACUUGGGAGGCUGAGGCAUGAGAAUCACUUGAACCCGGGAGGCAGAGUUUGCAGUGUGCCAAGAUUGGGCCACUGCACUACAGCCUGGGUGACAGAGUGAGACUCUGUCUCAA